rnacentral:rRNA from 1 species
UACGGGGGGAGCAAGCGUUGUUCGGAUUUACUGGGCGUAAAGGGCGCGUAGGCGGUCAGCACAAGUCAGUUGUGAAAUCUCCGGGCUUAACUCGGAAAGGUCAACUGAUACUGUGCGACUAGAGUGCGGAAGGGGCAACUGGAAUUCUCGGUGUAGCGGUGAAAUGCGUAGAUAUCGAGAGGAACACCUGCGGCGAAGGCGGUGCUCUGGGCCGGAACUGACGCUGAGGAGCGAAAAGCGUGGGGAGCAAACAGG